rnacentral:rRNA from 1 species
UACGUAGGUGGCAAGCGUUGUCCGGAAUUACUGGGCGUAAAGGGCGCGUAGGCGGUCCUGAUCGUCGGAUGUGAAAGGCCUGGGCUCAACCUGGGAAUGGCAUCCGAUACGGCGGGACUGGAGUGUGGGAGAGGUUGGUGGAAUUCCCAGUGUAGAGGUGAAAUUCGUAGAUAUUGGGAAGAACACCGGUGGCGAAGGCGGCCAACUGGACCACAACUGACGCUGAGGCGCGAAAGCGUGGGGAGCAAACAGG